rnacentral:rRNA from 1 species
GAUGAACGCUAGCGACAGGCUUAACACAUGCAAGUCGAGGGGCAGCGGGGUAGCAUACCGCCGGCGACCGGCGCACGGGUGAGUAACACGUAUGCAACUUACCUAUCAGAGGGGGAGUAACCCGGCGAAAGUACGGACUAAUACCGCAUGAAGCAGGGAUCCCGCAUGGGAAUAUUUGCUAAAGAUUCAUCGCUGAUAGAUAGGCAUGCGUUCCAUUAGGCAGUUGGCGGGGUAACGGCCCACCAAACCGACGAUGGAUAGGGGUUCGUGAGAGGAAGGUCCCCCCACCAUU